rnacentral:rRNA from 1 species
GAUGAACGCUGGCGGCGUGCCUAAUACAUGCAAGUCGAGCGAACAGACGAGGAGCUUGCUCCUCUGACGUUAGCGGCGGACGGGUGAGUAACACGUGGAUAACCUACCUAUAAGACUGGGAUAACUUCGGGAAACCGGAGCUAAUACCGGAUAAUAUAUUGAACCGCAUGGUUCAAUAGUGAAAGACGGUUUUGCUGUCACUUAUAGAUGGAUCCGCGCCGCAUUAGCUAGUUGGUAAGGUAACGGCUUACCAAGGCAACGAUGCGUAGCCGACCUGAGAGAGUGAUCGCCCACACUGAAGCUGAGACACGGUCCAGACUCCUACGGGAGGCAGCAGUAGGGAAUCUUCCGCAAUGGGCGAAAGCUUGACGGAGCAACGCCGCGUGAGUGAUGAAGGUCUUCGGAUCGUAAAACUCUGUUAUUAGGGAAGAACAAAUGUGUAAGUAACUAUGCACGUCUUGACGGUACCUAAUCAGAAAGCCACGGCUAACUACGU